rnacentral:SRP_RNA from 4 species
GACCGUACGACAAAGGCAAGGGUGUGAACCGAGUCAGAUCCGGAAGGAAGCAGCUAUAAGCAUUUGCUUGUCUUGUGUUGUACGUUAUGC